UGGGCGGAGCCGACCUGCUCCAACCGUUCCCGGGAGCCGGGAGUGUGCGCUGCGCGGCGGCGGCUCCGCGCUCGGCCCCUCCCGGGCUGGGUAGGAGAGAGGAAGCCCCGCUCGGCGCCGUCUAUGUGCUUCUGCAGUUUGGGAAGGACCGGGUUUUCCCGGGAAGGAGCCCGGCUCAGCUGUGUCGACCCUGGGACGUCUCCUUUCCCUUUCCUUCUAGAAGAAACAGCGUGUCCGAACCUUCCGUAGGGAAAGGCGCUCGUCACCCUUGGUUCGUGGUUACUUUAAAAUGUGAAGUACGAGGCCGAUGCUGACCUGGGCGGACCUGCGCUCGCCCACAGCCUGCGAGGAGACUCAGCCCCGCGCCCACAGCACGGAGCCCGGCCCUUCUAUCCCUUCCUGCGAGCCCGAUGAGCCUCCCGGUUUCCGUCUGGCUCGGAUAAGGAAGCAUCUUUCUGCUGGCCGAGUCCCUUCAUCGCCCGAGCACAGUUUCCAGAACUCAGGGGGCUUCUGGAACAGAAUUCUGGAACUCCAGGCUCGGUAGGAUGGUUAUGGGCGCAACGUUGUUGAAGCCACGCCAUCCGGAGUCUAUAACCAAGCAAAUCUGGUGGCGUGGUCUUCUCCUGUGAGGCUUUGAAGACUUGUGCUUUGUUGAAGAUAAAGCUGGCCUGUGGCUGAUUGCAGAUGCUUUCAGGGAAGUGAAGUAAAACAGAAUGACUGUGUAUAGAUGUCAGAAGAUUUAAAGGGGCCGUAAUUAAUUUAUUACUUAACGAUUUUCAAAAGCAAGAGAUCUGGUGAGAAUUCAUAACGAGGAGACUGCCACUAAGGAGUUUUGGUUGUUUCUGUGAUACAAAAACGAGAUGAGAAAGCCAAUCCAAAAUAAGUUUUAGACAAAAUAGCUACCGACAUAGCGAUCUACCCUAUUUUCAAAGGAGAUAGAAAACACUGCAUGGGAUUUAUAGCAGUGGAUGAACGUAAUUCCCACAGAGAAAAAGUCUUGAAACAGACAUAUAAUAAUCCUGAGACCUAAUAUGCUGCAAAUAUACAAGUCACACAGUAAGAAUGAUAUAUCAACAAUAUGAGACAGUUGUGGUAAGUCUGGAGUAAGUUCUACAUAUUUAUACAUUAAUUAGACUCCAUAGGCAAGUGAUGUAAAUCCCAUUUGAAAUUCAGAAGCCCAGAAGAUGCUAGAGUCAAAUUAAAGAAGUAAAGUGGCGACCAAGUAAGCGUUUAAAAAAAUAGCUACAAUUAUGACUGAUGACACUUCACUACUGUAGUCUAAUAUCAGAGAAAACAGCACCAGGACUUUCUAUGUUGGUGGAAACAUGUCAUGGGCAGUAAGAGCACUGAUAAGUCUCCAGGAAUUUCCCAUUCGGUGUACAAUUUCUGAAAUAUUUAUAUUAACGUUGUAGCCAUGCAAAUCUGACUUAGGGAAGCCUAGGCCUUUCUCCUCCUCCUCCUUUUCCUCCUCCCCCUCCCCCUCCUUCUGGCAUCCCUUCUGAUUUUCACCUCUUCCUGUGCAACUCAUCAAUAAUAGCACAUCAAAUAGCCCUGGUUGUCUUCACUAUCUGCCUUUUUGCAAGGGGACAGAACGCAUCGUUAGGAUUUUCCAGGCACCUUCGGGGAAGUCUCAACCACAGGUGUAGGUGGAAACAGUACCUUGAAAGUUUUAGUUGACAUUUAGGAUUCGAUUGGGGGAAGGCAAAGGUUAAAACCGAUCAGAACAUUUGAACACUUAGGAGAGGAAACAAACCAUGAUUGCUGGAGAACUUAGGUGGUUAUUGGUUUCAAAGUUACAAUAAAACCGUUAAAACUAAGCACAGAAGGUAACAUGACUGUAAACGACAUUAUUCCUAUGUAAGAAACCUUUGUUUUCUUCAGGAAGGACGACACAAUCAAUGUAAACUAUAAAGCUUAUUCUGCUAAAAAACAGAAUAUUUGCUGUCGGAGAAGGUUACACAGGGGAAACAGAAAGAACCGGUCAUAUUAUGGGUGAGGGCACCGAGCAGUUAACCAAAGGAACAAACACAUUAAAGUGAAGCAAACCUUCCCAGAUUUUGGUAUAUUCUGUGGCUCUUCAAACUCAGGUAUUCUAAAUGGGGAUAAAUAAAAUUAACCUGCCAAUUUUGCCCAUCUUUAUGUUCUUCCACACCCUGGGACAAUCUGACACUGUCCUGGCUUCAGGAGUCCACGAGGUUGGAACCGAUUUCACACCAUUGCUGAGAUGUUACCAACAUGGAUUGUGUCCGACUGUGCGAUCUCCAAAUGCGCUAAGAAGUACGAUUUUUUAAACUGCGUGUUGGGAUUGUUUGUAAUGGAACAAGCAUUUCCAGUCAAGUUCGUAUUUUAGAUACUUAAACCUUCAAGAUGUAGUUUAUUCAAUUGUUUACAGUGUUUUUCAACUGCAGCUUUCCAGCGUAAAGGGCCCGUGAAAUCCCAGGCUUCUGACCUCCCUCCCAGGGGAACCGACUGGAACGCUGAAGAACGAAACAAGAAACAGGAGGCUCUCGCGAUCUAACUGAUCCUCAGCGUGAGAAGUGUUCUGCCCGUUCCAGAAUGUACAUGUUAGGUAAACGAACAAACAGAUCCUUAAAAGCCAUAGUUCAGGAUUUGAUUCACAAAUCUGUUUAAAAACCAAGGCCGCUGCGGGUAAACGGUCAGAUAUUCUUAUUUCCAAAUAUUUUUCCUUUCGUUUGAGGCCUUUUUGUUUGUUUAUUUUGAUCUGACUGUCUUGCUUUCUCGGAUCUGUUCUAAUUGUUAUCUCUCUAAGAUUUCCUGUCCUCUAUAAAAAAAAAUCUUCACUGAAUCUGUUAUCUUGCAAACCUUGAAACGUUGGCAUCCUGUGUUCUGUGUCGUCUUCUGUCAUUCCUCCUGACUUCCUGCCUCCUCCUGUCCUAAAUGUGGCAAGAGAGAGAGGAGAGACGAUUCCAUUUCCUUACCCAUCAACCAGGCCGCGAGUGGGGUCUGCCGAUGAGCUAAUAUGGAGGAGGCCUCCCUGUAAUUGUCGUGACUUUGGAGCAUCGGACAGUGUCACGUGGGCAGAGUUUGGCCCUCGGUUUGUGAGUUUGACUUCCUACUUGUGACACGGAUUGUUCGGGGCCACUUCCUGACAUACCUGUGGCAUAUCUGUCCCUCCCCGCCCAAGUUUCUGGUAGGGAACAGGCAGGAGUGACACUAAUAUGUGAUGUCUGGGUUCCCAAGGUGUUUUCAGCCUUCACUGCAUCGGGUUCACAAGCAGCAAUCCUGCAGAAUUAGAGGUACUCGAGGCUUGUGACUGAGGUGGGAAAGAUAGUGCCCCGCGGCCUCUCUGAGGUCUUCGCCGAGACCCCGGUAACGAGCGAGUAAGAAGGAUAAACCGACCGAAGUUUGUUAACCCGUUUGCCCCGGGUACAGGUGGGGACACCCGGGGAGAACAAGUAACUGUCGCCGUGGCUUAGAAGUCCAGCUUACGCGGCAUCUUCAACAAAGAACAGUGGAUUUGUGGUGAAGUCAUGGAACAAAGGAACGCGUGUCAGGCCAAGGGCAGAGAGACAGGCCAGUCAGUAAAGUUUGUUAUUUGAUUUCCAGGCUGUUGGGGUCUAAGGUUGUCUGGGGGUGAACCUCCGUCUUUCCCCGCAGAGAGGGCACAAGGGCCUCUUGGCAAACUUCUGUCCUAAUUCCUCUCUCUCGCUUUCAGCUCACAAUAAUCCUUGUGCCCAAGUGGCAUAUUUGGGGGUGGCCUAGUCCUUCACCUUCGCUGUCUUGUUUGUUCACAUUCCUUUGGAAGUUGGGAGGGGGG